GUGGGUAUGGCUUAGUUGGUUAAAGCGCCAGAUUGUGGAUCUGGAAAUCGCCGGUUCGAAUCCGGUUAUCCACCCCA
rnacentral:tRNA from 1 species